UAAAAUAUAGUCUAAUUUAUGAUGUUCAUUUUCGACAUGAAAGAUAUUUAUUUAAAUUAUUUUAU
rnacentral:tRNA from 1 species